UAUCUGCCUUUUCUGAUCUCGGGAGCAGUUUGGCAUGAAUGCGGCCGCCUGUCCUACCGAGUUGCAGGCGUGGUGCCUGGUCAUUGCAGCCGAGCUUUGGUCCACUCGCAGUGCUCUCACCAUGGGACGCAGGAGCAGGGGAGUUAAAAUUCCCUUGAGGAUUUGCUCAAGGGUCUUGAGCAGCGAGCAGUGAGAUCCAUUUCCUGAGAGGAGUCCUUGAAACAGAACUGUGAGAAAUGAAGAUGCUGCAGCUGGAGUGAUGGGAAUGGAGAGCCCAUGGAGAGUGAAUGUUGCCUGGUUUCACCACAGCCACAGAAUUCCACUAGCAAUGGUCAGAGAUCAUCCAGAUCACCACUGGCUCCAAAGAGCUCGAUAAACUGCUUGAAGGAAAAACAGAAGUGGGGUCCAUAACAAAGUUAUGCAGGGAAUUCUAUACUGGGAAGACUCAGCUGUGUCACAGCCAGGCAGUCGCCUGUCAGCUCCCCAUGGACCGCGAGGGUGGCGAGGGAAAAGCCACAUCCAUGGACUUGGAGGGGACCUUUCAUCCAGAGCAGCUCCUGGCUGUGGCUGAAAGGUCUGUGAUUGGAGGACAGGAAUAUAUUGACUCACUACUCAGUUGGAAGAUGUUUUCCACAGUUCCUGGAGGUUGAUUUGGCAGGUGCUCCCUUUGCAUACCACUGGUGUUGAUCUUUUUCUCCCAUCUCUGCCAGUCUGUCCCCAUAGCUCUCAUGUCAUUGCUCCUCAGCACAAGGUGGUUUCCCUCUCUUUUGCUACUGGAAGGGAAUGGGAGGUUCCCAAGCAGUUGGGGACAGUACUGGCUGGAUCCUGUUAGCUCUUUCUGAAAGGAAUUUCAUCUAAUCCUGCUGGCUUCUCCUGCAGCAAGGAGUGCUCCCAUGUUCCCUGUCACCAGGGAAUAUUUGGCAAGCAAGCAAAGGAGAGGAAGUGAAAUGAUGUUUGCAGCAGGCACAGGUGUGUCUGUGCUGGCCACAUACAGUGUCCUUGGAAUAAUGGAAUUGUUCAGGUUGGAGAAACCCUCUGAGAUCACGGUGCCCAGCCAUUCCCCCAGCGCUGCCAAGGCCGCCUCUGUCCCGUGUCCCCAAGUGCCACAUCAACACUGCUUUAAAUCCCUCCAGGGAUGGGACCUCCCUCAUUGCCCUGGGCAGCUUGCCAGGGAUGGACAGCCUUUCCACUAAGAGACUUCCUAGUAUCUAAUCUAAACCUCCCCUAGUAUCACAUGAGGCUGUUUCUUCUUAUCCAUUUAAAAUGGUUCCAGUCAUUCCAUUUUCUCUUCAUCACCACAUGUUGCAUUUUUUCCAUCGGUUUUUAUCUCUCCCAGGGAUGUGAGUUUUUAUUCCAGUCUUUUGGCAAAGCUCCUGGCUAACUCAUGUGGAUGAAGUUGUCACUCAAGUUUCAUUCCUUUAUUUUCCCUGAUUUUGCAGGUAUGGCCUGUCUGGCAGUGAUGUCCUAGACAAUGCAGCCUCUGCCAGGACUUUAACACUGAUCACCAGACCCAGGUGCUGGAUCAGGCCUUGGCCAUGAUGGCUGAGUCACAGUAAUUACACUGAUUUCAUGGACUUUGUUCCCACAUAGGAUUAGCCUUUGGCUUCUCCAGGGAAGUAGCUUGUUCCAUGGACAGUCAGGUGUCAGCAGCAUGUCUUCCUGCUGGAAUUCUGGGUGCCAGUGACUGGCUCCAGCUGAUGUGGCUGUACAAACACAGGGAAUUAAUGGUUCCUCAGUGCCAGCCUGAGGAGCAACUUUGAAGCUCAAUUUAUAACUGCAGAAACAGUGCUGAUGAUUUCCAAGCUCCCAGGAGACCUGUGGAGGCAACUUGGGAUUGGAACCAAGACUUACAGCCCUGCCUGCUCUUUACCAGGUAGACACUGCUGAUCAUGGCUAGUGCUGUGGCCCUGUACUGCAUGGAUUCCUAGGAAAGGGGGGGAGCUCUCUGCCAGGCAGGUGCACCUGGCCAGCUUCCUGUGGAUGGUGCUGCACCUGGCUGAUGAGGUGAACAUCAACUGGGUUUUAUUGCCAAGGUAAAACUCACUGUUUUUCUUACAAAGCCCAGCGAUUUGGUCCCAAUGGCUUUGUUGCUCAGUCUCUGCUCCCACUGGUUUGGAGAGGCUUGCUCUCACAGUAAUGGACACCUGGAGUGUCCCUGUGUCCUUUUUCCCUGCUUUUCUGUUCUGAUUGUGAAAAAUAACUGGGUUUUGGUUGUUUCUCCUGUAUGGCAAUCAUUUCCACAAACUGGGUGGUGGCACAGGUAGACGGAGCUGCCACAUUUGCUGCAGAUCCCAAAAAACCCAUCGGAAGGAAUAUCAUCGCUCCUGCUUCCUCCACCAGGUGAGACAAAAGAUGGUCAUAUCCCAGUUUUAUAGAACUGGCCGAGUAGCUUGUACUUCUGGGAUUUCCAUAGUCUGUUCAUGGCACUUCACCUUAGUGCCGCUCUGGGCUCUCAGUCUGCAGGGAAAUUAACAUCUCAGGCAGUUCUUACAGCUCUACUUAAUGGUUUGUGGAUUAUGAUGAUUUUCUGGAAGUAGGCUGUCCAUUCUAGCCCAUUGUCUUUCCUCCCCCUGUCAGACUGUACCUGCGGAAAGGCCGAGGUAAGACAGGAUCUGACUCACCGUGUCUUGCUGAGGCCGCUGUGUUUGCUAUCAGUGCUGAUGGAGUGGGAGAUCCUAAAUACCGAAAACUCCUUUUUUUCUCCCCUGAGUCCCAAGACUCUGUGUCCGUAAGAGGCUCCUUUCUUGGUGGCACCUUAGGGAUACUUCUCAAGGCAUCAGGCAGAGGAAGAUGUGGUGUGUCAACAUGGGAACCGUCAGGACACACCGAGUGCAGCCAGAGCCGUUUGGAAGAGAUCUCUCUUUGGGCAGUAGACACAGAUUAGGUCAGUGUGCUUCCUCAGGAGUAUUCUGUCCUGGGGUGAUGUUAUGAGGCCGCUUUAUUCCUUAACUGUCUGCUUAAUGCCCAAGGACACUCUGUCUUUAAGAUGGAUCCAGGGGGUGAGGCUGGAACCAUGGCACCCGCAUGUGGUUUGGUUCAAUGGCUCAGCCCAACGGGCUCUGGGGCUCUGGGGCUCAGUGGGGGCUCGGGAGGGAUUGCGCUGGGAGCGCUGUGCUGCUCUUCGGUUUUUUUUGUUCCGGCUAGCUGGAAAAAGGUUGUGUUGGUUUUUUUUUGUUCUUUUUCCCUUCCCUCCCCUUGCCUCAUGCCUCCCUUCCCUUCCCUCUGGUCAUGGGAGCCUGCCGGGUGGCCCCAGUGGGCCCACAGGGUGGCCCUGGCUGGUCCGAGCCCGAGUGUCUGUUCCCUCUCUGGGAAUUUGUUUUAUUUUGAGUUUUGUUUUAUUCUGUUCUACCCUGUUUUGUUUUGUGUUAAUAAACAGUUUGGGUUUUUUCCCACUUUCACUUGUUGUUACCAAUUUGUCCCAUUAGUGGAGGAGAAGGGGAGGCUAUUACCGCAGGCCUGGUUCCUACAGUAUA